CACAGGGUUCACGACAACGAGGUCGAUGCCACGCUUCCUGGCUGCCUCCCACGCGGCCUGCUCCGCCACGGCCUUGCCGUAGCAGUACCAGUUCUGGUUCACCAUCGGGUGGAGGCAUGCAUCAGUACAAGUCGUGAUCAGAAUUCGAGGUCGCUCCAGCAGGACUCGUCGACAACUACGUCAGGACCGCGGUUGGGGUCCAUGGUGACGGCGCCGAUGGACGAUGUGAACACCACCCGGCGCACCGUUCCUGCAUCCGCCGCUGCGUUGAUCACGUACUCCGUGCCCCGCACCGCCGGCUCCACCAUCUGCUCCUGCUCAAACGCGAGAGUUCACAACCUGCAGUUGUCAGCAGCAACCCGCCAUAUAUGCAUCACUACGCAAUGAACAACAAGAGGGAGGCGCGUGGUGCAUACAGGAUCAUCGGUGACUGGGGAGGCGGUGUGGAACACGCCGUGGCAGCCCUCGGCGGCGGCGCAUAUGGCAUCGUAGUCGAGGAGGUCGGCUUUGCAGAGGAUCAGCCUCUCGACGGCGCCGUCCAGCGCCUUCAGUGUGCAUGCCUGGGUUCCUCACUGUGCCCUUCACGGUGUAGCCUCUCUCCAGCAGCAGCUUGACGAGCCAAGACGCGAUGUAUCCGGCAGCGCCGGUGACACACACGGUCUGCCCAUGGCCAGGCAGCUGCUGCGCGACGGUGUUGACAACAGUCAUUGUCGCUCUUACGGUACUACUGUACUUAUCUAAACUAGCCUGUUGGUGAGAUGGAAGAGCUACGGACGAACUAAUGGACAGAAGAACGAGCUCUUGAUUUAAGUUUGGUAUUGUUCUUAGAGUGGAGGCGUGGAGUCUAGCUAAAAUUUAUAAUGCUGGGCAAGGGAAGUAGCUGAGAGGGCCUGGGGUGGCCGUGCGUGCGUUUGUGUGUGACAGCUUGGUGGUCCCUGGAGACAGCGACCUCGAGUUAGGUAAGGCAAUAGUACUGAUUAUUCCUGGUUUUCAGAGUUCUAAUGAAUCGUGAUCAGGUGAAACUGGCUGCAAAAAUAAAUGAAACGGGUGAAACUUAUGCCUUUAUUUUA